GAUGAAGAACGCAGCGAAAUGCGAUAAGCAAUGCGAAUUGCAGAAUUUCCGUGAGUCAUCGAAUCUUUGAACGCACAUUGCGCCCACUGGUAUUCCGGUGGGCAUGCCUGUUCGAGCGUCAUUAUCCUCCCUCAAACCCCGGGUUUGGUGUUGGACCCAAGUUGUGUGAACAACUGGUCUCAAAGACAAUGACGGCGUCCGUGGGACCCUCGGUGCAACGAGCUUUUAGGAGCACGCAUCGAGUUGCAAGGACCUUCCGGGCCGGUCUCCUUUACCAUUUUACAAGGUUGACCUCGGAUCAGGUAGGAAUACCCGCUGAACUUAAGCAUAUCAAUAAGCGGAGGA
rnacentral:misc_RNA from 1 species